CAAGUCGAGUGCGCGGUUGUAGCAAUACAACUGGCGCACGGCGCACGGGUGCGUAACACGUGGGCAAUCUGCCCUUCGAUGGGGAAUAACUCCGGGAAACCGAAGCUAAUUCCGCAUAACAUUCCUUGGACUUCGGUUCGAGGACUCAAAGCCGCAAGGCGUCGAAGGAGGAGCCCGCGCCCGAUUAGCUAGUUGGUGAGGUAACGGCUCACCAAGGCAAUGAUCGGUAGCUGGUCUGAGAGGAUGGCCAGCCACACUGGAACUGAGACACGGUCCAGACUCCUACGGGAGGCAGCAGUGGGGAAUCUUGCGCAAUGGGCGAAAGCCUGACGCAGCGACGCCGCGUGGGGGAUGAAGCAUCUCGGUGUGUAAACCCCUUUCGACUGGGACGAAUGCCUCGCAAGAGGAGUGACGGUACCAGUAGAAGAAGCCCCGGCUAACUACGUGCCAGCAGCCGCGGUAAGACGUAGGGGGCCAGCGUUGUUCGGAAUUACUGGGUGUAAAGGGUUCGUAGGCGGUGUGGCAAGUCGGGAGUGAAAUCUAUGGGCUUAACCCAUAGGCUGCUUCCGAAACUGCCGUGCUUGAGUGUGGGAGAGGCGCGUGGAAUUGCAGGUGUAGCGGUGAAAUGCGUAGAUAUCUGCAGGAACACCCGUGGCGAAAGCGGCGCGCUGGACCACUACUGACGCUGAGGAACGAAAGCUAGGGGAGCAAACAGGAUUAGAUACCCUGGUAGUCCUAGCCCUAAACGAUCAGGACUUGGGGUGCCACCCGUUCGGGUGUCGUCCCGGAGCUAACGCGUUAAGUCCUGCACCUGGGGAGUACGGUCGCAAGACUGAAACUCAAAGGAAUUGACGGGGGCCC
rnacentral:rRNA from 1 species